rnacentral:rRNA from 1 species
UACGUAGGUGGCAAGCGUUGUCCGGAAUCACUGGGCGUAAAGCGCGCGCAGGCGGCGAUCUACGUCUGGGGUGAAAGCCCGGAGCUCAACUCCGGGACUGCCUUGGAUACGGGAUCGCUUGAGGAUUGGAGAGGCAAGGGGAAUUCCACGUGUAGCGGUGAAAUGCGUAGAUAUCGGGAGGAACACCUGUGGCGAAAGCGGCGCACUGGACCACAACUGACGCUGAGGCGCGAAAGCCAGGGGAGCGAACGGG